UUUUAUUUUUCUUCUAUGUUUUACUGAUCCUCUCAACAGCUUCAUCGUUAAAACUUAAUGACGACGUAGUUUUGAACAAAGCAGAUUUGACAGAAACCACGAGCCGUUCCCAAGCACUGCCCAUGUCGAGUGCUACUGGCGGAAUGAACUUCUCUUUUAGCUAAUCUUUUCAACAUUUCGCCGCCGGAAGUAAGCUUGUCAAAAGGAGCAGUGGUCACCGGAAUCGUUUACUGCCGUUUGUUUUGUCAUUUGCAAUGUUAUCGAUAGUUAAUCGAUUUGCAAAGUUUUCCAUAUACCGAAGAGAAAAUUUCAAACUUAAAAAGACAGUCAACAAAAAUUCGUAAGCUUUUUGCAUGAGCAUUCAGUCAGUGACACUUCCAGACAUCAAAUGCACUGGAAUUGUUGUGGAGAUGAGUUAAGGACAUUGCAUUAAUUGACUUAACAGAAUGUGUAAUCCGUGCUCUUAAAUGGUUAUUAAUACAACUUCAUUACUCUCAAAUUAGAGUUACUCCUACUGCAUACAUAUGUUUGUAUGUAUAUAUUUUUAUGAAAUAAAUCACAACAUAUUAAAACGAAAGCGCGCAUUAAUUAAAUGCGUCUGUGCGCUGGCAGAUAAAUUACAUUCAAAUAUUCACACGUAGGCACAUACAUAUGUACAUACUCAUAUGUACUUAUAUUGUGUCCAUUGCUGCUGUAAUUAGCACUGCAAUUGUCAAUGUCACUUCAAUUGGAGCGUCGACGAAAACAUCAAGCAAACAAAAACAGCAAAUAAAAAAUAGCAACUCAACUAAUUAAAAGAAAAGUCAACGCAUAGAAAGAAAAGAUAAUAUUGAAAAACAUGCAAAAAGUGGAAAACAAGAAAUCAACGCGCUGCAAAUACAAUGUAAAGAAAAAUAUGAACAAGCACAAUGAAAGCACAAAGUAAAAAUUGCAGGUAAACAGAAUGUUGUUGGACACCAGCCGCUUGUGACAGUUCGAUAUAUACGUACAUACAUGUUUAUGUGCAUCCACAACGGCGAAUGGCAAAUCAAGUUGUCACAUUCCCAGCAAAAAUGCAGACGCAGAUGCACACAUAAGUUCAUGUGUGUUCUUCAUAUGGCCCAAAACGUCUCACACACAAAAGAAAACUUGUCAACUGACAAGUAUUUAAACAGUUUGAAGAUUAUUUUUGAAAACAAACAGAAUUGCAUACAAUUCUAUUUGCAAAAUAUUUUCUUACGUUAAAAGAAAAUUGUAGUAUAUUUGUGAGUGCACAAAUAUCGUGUGCUAGGGCUCCAGCGAAUAUGAAAUGAGCUUUUCUUCUGCCGCACAUAGUACAUAUGAACUUCCACAUAAUUUAGCUGGCAACACUGUGCAGUAACUAUAAACAACUUGCUAAACAAGCAACUAAUACACCACCAGCAAUGCCAAGGUGAGGAAGCCGGUUGAAAAAUGCAAGCAAACAAAUAUGCUGCUGCAGACACACACAGACACAAACACG